rnacentral:rRNA from 1 species
CAAACUUGAGAGUUUGAUCCUGGCUCAGAACGAACGCUGGCGGCAUGCCUAACACAUGCAAGUCGAACGAACCC